AGUGGCGAACUGGUGAGUAACACGUGGAAAACCUGCCCAGAAGCAGGGGAUAACACUUGGAAACAGGUGCUAAUACCGUAUAACAACAAAAGCCGCAUGGUUUUUGUUUGAAAGGUGGCUUCGGCUAUCACUUCUGGAUGGUUCCGCGGCGCAUUAGCUAGUUGGUGAGGUAAAGGCCCACCAAGGCAAUGAUACGUAGCAGACCUGAGAGGGUAAUCUGCCACAAUGGGACUGAGACACGGCCCAUACUCC
rnacentral:rRNA from 1 species